rnacentral:rRNA from 1 species
CAGGCAUAACACAUGCAAGUCGAGCGGAUGACGGGAGCUUUCUCCGUGAUUCAGCGGCGGACGGGUGAGUAAUGCCUAGGAAUCUGCCUGGUAGUGGGGGACAACGUUUCGAAAGGAACGCUAAUACUGCAUACGUCCUACGGGAGAAAGCAGGGGACCUUCGGGCCUUGCGCUAUCAGAUGAGCCUAGGUCGGAUUAGCUAGUUGGUGGGGUAAUGCCUCACCAAGGCGACGAUCCGUAACUGGUCUGAGAGGAUGAUCAGUCACACUGGAAUUGAGACACGGUCCAGACUCCUACGGGAGGCAGCAGUGGGGAAUAUUGGCCAAUGGGGGAAAGCCUGAUCCACCCAUGCCGCGUGUGUGAAGAAGGUCUUCGGAUUGUAAAGCACUUUAAGUUGGGAGGAAGGGCAGUAAGUUAAUACCUUGCUGUUUUGACGUUACCGACAGAAUAAGCACCGGCUAAUUCUGUGCCAGCAGCCGCGGUAAUACAGAGGGUGCAAGCGUUAAUCGGAAUUAUUGGGGGUAAAGCGCGCGUAGGUGGUUCGUUAAUUUGGAUGUGAAAGCCCCGGGCUCAACCUGGGAACUGCAUCCAAAACUGGCGAGCUAGAGUACGGUAGAGGGUGGUGGAAUUUCCUGUGUAGCGGUGAAAUGCGUAGAUAUAGGAAGGAACACCAGUGG